GUGUGUGGCUCAGCGGUAGAACGCUCACCUAGCACGUGUGAGGCCCUGGGUUCGAUCCUCAGCAACACA
rnacentral:tRNA from 1 species